UUGGGAACCGGACGUCUUUGAGACGACAUAGAACGAAUCCGGAUCUGCUCAAGCAGCAAGUCAAGGGUGCUCAUCUACCCCAAAUGUAAAUGUAGCCCAACAGUAAAAGGAAGGAGGAGGGGUGCCAUCUAUAUCUAUUAAGAGUCGUCUUCAUCCAUGAAGUGCUCGAGAUCAGAGUAAAGUGAAUAGCAUGCCUCUCUGAUAUGUACUAUUUGCGGUCACUACUUUGUUGCUGAUUGUAAGACCUAGUCAAGUGGAGUAAGUUAGCUGUUAGUAGUUUUGUUGCUUUAGAAUAUAACGAAAUAAAUUUCAUGGGGGAAUCGUGGCACAUAGUGCUGCAUUAUCUCCUUAUAUUUUGGUAUUUUUAUUCCUUAUUUCUAGUUAGAUAUUUGUGUUGUAAGCCUUUAAAAAGGCCAGCUCUGAAUUCAAUAAAGGCAUCGAGCCAAUUAAUAUCCAACUUUCUAUCUCUCUUCCUGUUUAAACCUCCGUGAACCUUUUUCUGAAAUUGCUCGUAUCAGUGGUAUCAGAGCACGGUUCCUUUCAUGGACACUCGUGGCAAAACAAAUGCUGAAUUCAAGAAUGAAGUCAACGAAAUCUUAACUCGACAUGAAUCAAACUUUGACUGCCUCAAUAACAACUUCAAUCAAGUUAAUGCAACCCUUCAAACAGUCCUCGCUGAACUACAAGCACUUCGAGUCAACUCUACCACCAACUCAGCUGCUACAGAAGUAAACCCUUUCGAACCAGGAGAAUCGUCACAUCGACCUACCUCAUUUCUGAAUCAGAUUCACACAUCCAAUGCUACUCACAACCACAACCAAGCGCACCUGAAACUGAACUUCCCGACCUUUGGAGGUAGUGAUCCAACUGGUUGGAUUUUUAAAGCGGAACAAUAUUUUGAGUUUAAAGGAAUUAAUCCUCAGCAGCAAGUUCAACUUGCUUCAUUUCAUUUAGAGGGGUUGCAUUACAAUGGUAUCGAUGGUUCACAAAGUUUCGAGGUCCUUCCACAUGGGUAGAAUUCACUCAAGCCAUUCUUCGUCAUUUUGGACCGACGAAUUAUGAUGACCCGUCAGAAGCAUUAGGUCGUCUUAAACAAGUCACCACCGUGGCUGCUUAUCAAGAACAAUUUGAGUAGCUUUCUCACCGUGUGGAUAAUUUGCCUGAGAGUCAUCUCAUUGGAAGCUUCAUUGCAGGGCUCAAAGAUGACGUGCGGCUGGACAUUCACGUUAAGCAACCACACACUCUCUCAGAUGCUAUUAGCAUGGCUCGUUUGAUUGAAGAAAAGAAUAACUUGCAGCGUCGGCCAAGUUUCCCUACCCGUCCUGCAUCCACAACACCACCAUCUAGACUGCAACCGAAUACAACUGCGGGCAUCAUUGGUCCUUCUCCUCCACAGAAGACCACACCUAUGGCAACUCUCUCUCAACUUCUUUUUCGAUGGAUAACUGGGCAGGAAGCCAAAGCCCGCCGAGAAAAAGGUCUUUGUUACUAUUGCGACGAGAAGUACGUGCCCGGACAUCGUUGCGAGCGACCACAACUCUUUAUGUUGGAAGACCUUACAACUGUUGUAGACUCGGCUAAAACUGAGCCUUCUGAUGAUGAUAUCUCUUUUACAUCUUUACCGGAAAUAUCUCUCCACGCUAUGGCAGGAACUACCCACCCACAAACCCUUCGAGUCCUCGGUAAGUUGAAAAAUAGGGACCUCACAGUGCUCAUCGAUGGCGGCAGCACUCACAAUUUUCUUGACCAGUCUGUUGUAACUAAAUGUGGACUUCCAGUGAUCCGAGACAAAACACUUCAAGUAAUGGUCGGGAAUGGAGAGAAGGUUGAUUGUUCUGGUCGUUGCCUAGCGCUUACUUUGGAAAUUCAAGGUCAUCCAAUCCAAGCUGAUUUUUUUGUAUUGCAUGUGGCUGCUUGUCAAGCUGUGCUUGGGGUGCAAUGGCUGGAGACUUUGGGUCCCGUCGAGACGGACUAUCGACAACUCAAAAUGACAUUUCAACAAAAUGGCAAAGUUUGCACUUUCCAGGGCCUUCAACAACCUAACCUGGUUCCUAUGACUACUAAGGAAUUGCUGCAUGUAUCUGGUAUGAGUUUCUUUUUACAAGUAAUCCCUACACAAUACUCCUAUGAAUCAACCCCACAUCCAGCUGACCUUGAAUAUCUCCUUACUGAAUUCUCUCAUGUCUUCUCUACUCCAACAUCUUUACCCCCGCCAAGGACACAUGAUCACCAAAUAACACUUUGACCGAAUCAAGAGCCAAUUAGUGUACGUCCAUAUCAGUACCCCCACUACCAAAAGGCUGAAAUUGAGCAGAUGGUGCAUGAAUUUCUUGACUAUGGUUUGAUUCGUCCUAGUACGAGUCCUUUUUCCUCUCCUGUUUUGUUAGUUAAAAAAGUGGAUGGCACAUGGAGAUUUUGUGUUGACUAUCGUGCUCUCAAUAACAUCACAGUAAAAGACAAAUAUCUUAUACCAGUAAUUGAUGAGUUGCUCGACGAGUUGCAUGGUGCAAAGUACUUCUCCAAAUUGGACCUUCGAUCCGGGUACCAUCAAAUAAGAGUCCGAGAGGAAGAUAUUCACAAAACGGCUUUUCGUACACAUGCAGGCCACUAUGAAUUUGUGGUCAUGCCAUUUGGUCUUACAAAUGCUCCUUCUACCUUUCAGAGUCUUAUGAAUGACUUGUUUCGGCCCUAUCUUCGAAAGUUUGUCUUAGUGUUCUUCGAUGACAUAUUGGUGUACAGUCGAACCUGGACUGAGCAUUUACAAUAUCUUCGCAAUGUACUAGUAAUAUUGUCACAUAACACUUUGUUUACUAAAAAAUCAAAAUUUUGUUUUGGCGUUUUACAGGUUGACUAUUUGGGCCACCUCAUUUCCUUAGAAGGUGUCGCAGUCGACCCCGCAAAAAUCAAGGCUGUUAUGGACUGGCCGAUUCCUUAUUCUUCUCGGGGAGUUCGUGGUUUCCUUGGUUUGGCCGGGUAUUAUAGGAAAUUUAUUCGUGGGUUUGGAGAACUUGCUGCUCCAUUGACACGUUUGUUGACAAAGGAAAGAUUUCUUUGGACUCAGGAAGCAUCCACUGCUUUUGCACAACUUAAGCAUGCCCUUACUUCUCCCCCAGUGCUGCGUCUUCCUGAUUUUACACAACCUUUUGUGAUUGAAAGUGAUGCAAGUAACAAGGGAAUCGGUGCUAUAUUGACGCAACAAAACCAACCAGUAGCAUUUUUUAGUGAAGCACUUAAAGGGUCAGCUUUGGCAUUGUCCAUGUUGAGUGUUAGAAAAUGUAUAUUUAUAAAGGAGAAAAUCGUCAUUUUACAUUUCAAGUCUUACUAACAACCCUUACUUUUAUGUAUUUAAGGUUCUUGUAAUUUAAUUAUGUGUGUUUUAUUUUAAUUAAGUAUUUUGUGUAUUUUAGGGGCAACAUAGUCAUUUCACAAUAAACGAGAGAUCAAACGGCAAAAUUGACAUCACUUUUGAACUCAAGACGGUAGAAAACCUUAGGAGGAACAUAAAAGGAAAAAUGGCAUUGUUCACAUGUACGGUACUGUCUACGUUACUGUUCACGACACUGUUCACAUAGACGGAUCGAUGACGUGGCAUUGACCGAUGAUGUGGCAUUGACUGAUGAGGUGUCAUGAUCCUGUUGGUCUAAAAUUCUUAUGAACUAUUGAUAGUGACGUGGCAGCAUAUUAGUGGACCAAAACUUGCGCGUACGGUACAUGCAUUACACAGGAUUAUUUUCAACCAAAUCGCGUUACUGUUCAAAGCUGGGUCAAACCGUGUUACUGUUCACCCAUGUGGUCAAACCGCGUACUGUUGACUAAUGAUAUGGCGCAAUCCUGAGCGUCCAAACUGUUUUUAAUCCGAUGGCCAUGAUUUACUCAAUGUAUCUAUAAAAAAGGGUUCUUCCCCCCCCUAAUUUGAUAUCUCUGAAUCCAUUUUCGGGAUCCAUUUUCUGUAAUUCCCUCUCCAUCUUGUAUUUUCUACGUAUUUUAAUAAAUUUCCAUUUUACCCCUAGUUCAAUUAUGAGUAGCUAAUUUUCUUUCAAGGUUGGGUUGAAGGUGAAGUCUCAACAUGUGUCAUGGGCUUUAUUUGGUAAAUUUAUUUUCUUUUCCCCUCUAAUUUUUGUGGAUGAUUUGACUUUUCGUCGAUAAAUAAUAAUAAUCUUGUCUAGAUACCGUCUUGGUUUCACCGGCUCUCUAGUACAAGGUUAUUAUUAUUUGGCACGAUAAGCCCUUAGCAUCAUAUUGAUUAUAGUGUGGUUCAUGAGGUGUGGAUUCCCCCCUCAUGAUUUAAUUGGUAUUAAUAAUAAAUAUUUAGCCCAUGAUGCAUGUUGAUACGGAUACAGAUACCCAAGUACGUCAUUUUAAUAGAUUUCUAUUCAAUUUAUUCUCGCCAUUUAAAUUUCAAUUUUAGGAUAAUCUAAAUCAUUUUCACCACAAAUCCAACCACCAAUUUAGAAAAUUAAUUCUACACACAAUUAAAAUCCACCUCCUCGUGGGAUCGACACUCGUCACCAUUAAUCUAUUCUACAAUAGAUUCGUGCACUUGCGAGUUCAAUAAAAUUUACACAACAGUCCACAUAUGAGAAAGAAAUGUUAGCCAUUGUUAAGGCAAUUCGGAAAUGGCGUCCAUAUCUGCUAGGCAAACCUUUCAUCAUCCAAACAGACCAAAGGAGUUUGAAAUAUUUACUUGAGCAACGUAUUACCACUCCUGCUCAAACACGGUGGCUACCAAAACUUUUGGGUUAUGACUACACUAUCCAGUACAAGCGGGGUAAAGAGAAUCAGAGAGCUGAUGCUUUAUCCCGCAUUACAAAUUUUCAUUUUUUCGCAAUUUCCUUGCCCGUUGCUGAUUGGUGGUCUACUCUCCAACAAGAAGUUUCUCAAGAUCCUUUUUAUGCCAAGUUGUCCAGUUCUGAUGAAUCUCAGUGCCUUAAAAGAGGAGGUGUUUGGAUUAAAAAAGGAAAACUUCUAUUGAGUCCUAUUUCUACUCUAGUUCGUGCAAUCUUAUCAGAAGGGCACUCAUCACCAACAGGUGGCCACUUUGGUUACCAUAAGACACUCAGCAGACUCAAAAAGAAUUUUACUUGGCCUGGAAUGCGAACGACAAUCAAGGAAUAUAUACGCGGUUGUGAUAUAUGUCAACGUUGUAAAACAGAAUGUCUACAACCUGCGGGCCUACUUUAACCAUUGCCAGUGCCGGAAAGAAUUUGGACUGCAGUCUCUAUGGAUUUCAUAGAUGGUUUGCCUCCAUCCCAAGGCUAUACUGUUAUCAUGGUCGUUGUUGAUAGAUUGUCAAAAUACAACCACUUUAUUCCUUUAAAGCAUCCUUAUACAGCCUUGACAGUAGCAAAGGCAUUUGUACGGGAAAUUGUUCGCUUAAAUGGUGUGCCAAUCUCUAUUGUCAGUGACCGAGACCGUGUUUUUCUUAGUUCUUUUUGGAAGUCCUUAUUUCAGUUACAAGGCUGCACUCUCUCAAUGAGCUCUAGUUAUCAUCCACAAACGGAUGGACAAACUGAGGUUGUCAAUCAAGUUUUGGAACAGUAUCUACGUUGUUUCACUCAUGACCAGCCUAAAAAGUGGAUUGAUUGGUUGCCUUGGGCUGAGUACAGCUAUAAUACAACCAUUCACUCAUCAACUAAAGUUUCUCCAUUUGAGUUUGUAUAUGGUGUACCUCCUCCCUCAUUGCUAUCCUAUGUUCCCGAUACUACUAAAGUUCAGGCAGUAGAUGAUUUUUUGCGUUCUCGAGAGGAAAUAUUGUGAGACUUACGUCAAAAUGUUAUCAUGGCUCGUGAUCGAAUGAAAUCACAGGCAGACCAACAUCGUCGUGAUAUUGUUUAUGAGGUUGGUGAUUAUGUGUACCUUAAGUUGCAACUGUAUCGUCAACAUUCGGUGAUUUUUCGUAGCUCACUUAAGUUGGCACCACGAUUCUUUGGACUGUACAAAAUUCUUGCUCGUGUAGGGCAUGUUGCUUACCGGCUGCAGCUUCCAGUUGGGUCUCAAAUUCAUGACGUGUUCCAUGUGAGUCUUUUGAAGAAAAGAGUGGGUUCAGUUCAUUCUUCUCCUACUUUGCCUCCUACAAGCGGCGACUUCACCAUUCUUCCACAACCAGAGGCUAUCUUGGAUACUCGCAUUAUUCGUAAAGGCAAAUAUCGUCCCAAAACUGAGAUUCUUGUAAAAUGGGCUGGUGCACCCAAGGAAGAUGCCACCUGGGAGAAUCAAUGGCGUUUUACUCGGCAGUAUCCUGACUUUCUCCUUGCGGACAAGUCGCAUUUUAGGGGGGUGGAUUGAUAUGUGCUAUUUGCGGUCACUACUUUGUUGCUGAUUGUAAGACCUAGUCAAGUGGAGUAAGUUAGCUGUUAGUAGUUUUGUUGCUUUAGAAUAGAACCGAAUAAAUUUCAUGGGGGAAUCGUGGCACAUGGUGCUGCAUUAUCUCCUUAUAUUUGGGUAUUUUUAUUCCUUAUUUCUAGUUAGAUAUUUGUGUUGUAAGCCUUUAAAAAGGCCAGCUCUGAAUUCAAUAAAGGCAUCAAGCUAAUUAAUAUCCAACUUUCUAUCUCUCUUCCUGUCUAAACCUCCGUGAACCUUCUUCUGAAAUUGCUCGUAUCACUCUCUUAACCGAAAUUUUUCUUUUAGGUUUAGUUUAUGGGCGACUCAAUCCCCUCUAGAGUUUGAAAAAUCAAGACCUCUUCUUUUUUAUUUUAUUCUUUUAUUUAUAUUAACCGCACACUAAUGAGGCUCAAACUCAGGUCUUAAGUUGUAGGAAGGUUGUUCCUUAUCAAUGAAAUAAGACUUUGCUCGGACUUCUUCUUUUCACUCAAGAGAUCUAAACAACAGAACUAGUGGUAUCAAUCUCUUAAUUGAAUAUUAUAUGCUUUUAAACCAUUUUACACUUAUAAUCAUUCAAAUAGUUGUUUACAUCAUUCUUCAAGAUGAGAUUUCUAAAUGAAAGCAAUUAAAUCUGCAAGUUGUGAAUUGAUAAUAUUUAUUAUUCUGUUGUCUCCCAAUCAGUCGAUUGGGUAAAAUGGUGAACCAAAAAGUCAAGGAAAUCAUCAUCUGUUCAUUAUUGCCUUAGUCAAUUGGGACCUACAUUUUAGGAUAAGUUUUUGAUAAUAUGUUGGUGGAAUUGAUCUGUCAGUAAAAGCCAAAAGAUACCCAAAAAAAUUGAGUCUUUAAUGGAAUUUAAUUAAGUUGCAUUGUAAAUAAGUGUAAUAUGCAUAUAUAUGAAAGCAUGACAACGUUGUAUACACUACCAAUUUUGCAGGCUCUCAUCUUAGCGGCAACAGACACCACAGCUGUUACAUUGACAUGGAUUAUCUCCCCGCUUCUCAAUCAUCAUGAUAUUCUAAACAAGGCUCGAAAUGAACUAGAUAUUCAGGUGGGCACAAAAAGGCAAGUGAAUGAAUCAGAUAUAAAAAAAUUUAGUUUACUUACAUGCCAUUCUUAAAGAAGCAAUGCGUUUAUAUCCUGCUGCGCCAC
rnacentral:lncRNA from 1 species